UACGGGGGGGAGCAAGCGUUGUUCGGAUUUACUGGCGUAAAGGGCGCGUAGGCGGUCAGCACAAGUCAGUUGUGAAAUCUCCGGGCUUAACUCGGAAAGGUCAACUGAUACUGUGCGACUAGAGUGCGGAAGGGGCAACUGGAAUUCUCGGUGUAGCGGUGAAAUGCGUAGAUAUCGAGAGGAACACCUGCGGCGAAGGCGGGUUGCUGGGCCGACACUGACGCUGAUGCGCGAAAGCCAGGGGAGCGAAGCGGG
rnacentral:rRNA from 1 species